GAUGAACGCUGGCGGCGUGCCUAAUACAUGCAAGUCGAGCGAACAGACGAGGAGCUUGCUCCUCUGACGUUAGCGGCGGACGGGUGAGUAACACGUGUAUAACCUACCUAUAAGACUGGGAUAACUUCGGGAAACCGGAGCUAAUACCGGAUAAUAUAUUGAACCGCAGUGUGCAAUAGUGAAAGACGGUUUUUCUGUCAGUUAUAGAUGGAUCCGCGCCUCAUUAGCUAGUUGCUAAGUUAACGGGUUACCAAGGCAACGAGGCGUAACCGACGUGACGGAGUGAUAGGCCACACUGGAGCGGAGCCACGGUCAAGAGGACUACGGGAGGCAGCAGUAGGGAAUCGUACGCAGUGGGCGAGAACUUUACGGAACGGCCCCGAGUGAGUGAUAGCGAUCUUGCGAUCGUAAAACUCUGUUAUUGGGGAUAAACCAAUGUGUCAGUAACUAUGCACUGAUUGACGGUACCUAGUCAGGAAGCCCCGGCUAACUACGUG
rnacentral:rRNA from 1 species